rnacentral:misc_RNA from 1 species
CUAACGUAUUGGGUAACUCAAGUACAAAGAGUUGCCACCAAAGCUGUCAGGAUCAAUCAGCCACCAAGAGUUGGGGAUCUGGUGUGUUAUCAAGGAUUCGAAGUUGAUAUUAUUCAACUUUCAACUUUAAGGCCAUUUAAUGAGUUAGAGAGUCCAUUCAGACCCCCAAACUUUUGGAACUCGGAUUCGAUUGUCUUAGCAAUCUUGGCAUCUUCUGAGUCUGACUCUGGGAUAUCCACGUGGACUGACCCCUGCUUGAUUGGUGAAACUGAUUCUAGAAGAGCGGCUUGCUGUUGGAUGUAAUUGUAUACCUGUUGAUGGAAGUCGUGAUCCAAGGAGAAACAAUUGUCAAUAGUUCCGUUCCCUAUGCAGUGAGAUGAGCCAGAUCCUUUUCUAAAAAAAUGUGGAAGGGAUGUAUGAUCCAUAAUCUUUAGCAAUUCAUCUCUUCCACAACCUUGCAACACCUGAAUUUUUCUCCUUGUUCUUUCUUGUAAGAGGGGCUUUACAACCUUCCAACAUGCUGAAAAUAUAUAU